GACGAACGCUGGCGGCGUGCUUAACACAUGCAAGUCGAACGGAAAGGCCCGGCGUUUGUUGGUUGCUCGAGUGGCGAACGGGUGAGUAACACGUGAGUAACCUGCCCUUGACUUUGUGAUAACUUCAGGGAACUGGGGCUCAUAUCGGAUAGGAGCUCCUGCUGCAUGUUGGGGGUUGGUAAGUUUCGGCGGUUGGGGAUGGACUCGCGGCUUAUCAGCUUGUUUGUGUGGUAGUGGCUUACCAAGGGUUUGACGGGUAGCCGGCCUGAGAGGGUGACCGGCCACAUUGGGACUGAGAUAGGGCCCAGACUCCUACGGGAGGCAGCAGUGGGGAAUAUUGCACAAUGGGCGGAAGCCUGAUGCAGAAACGCCGCGUGCGGGAUGACGGCCUUCGGGUUGUAAACCGCUUUCGCCUGUGACGAAGCGUGAGUGACGGUACUGGGUAAAGAAGCAACGGCUAACUACGUG
rnacentral:rRNA from 1 species